rnacentral:rRNA from 1 species
AGUGGCGCACGGGUGCGUAACGCGUGGGAAUCUGCCCUUGGGUUCGGAAUAACAGCGAGAAAUUGCUGCUAAUACCGGAUAAUGACGUAAGUCCAAAGAUUUAUCGCCCAAGGAUGAGCCCGCGUAGGAUUAGCUAGUUGGUGAGGUAAAAGCGCACCAAGGCGACGAUCCUUAGCUGGUCUGAGAGGAUGAUCAGCCACACUGGUGACUGAGACACGGCCCAGACUCCUACGGGAGGCAGCAGUGGGGAAUAUUGGACAAUGGGCGAAAGCCUGAUCCAGCAAUGCCGCGUGAGUGAUGAAGGCCUUAGGGUUGUAAAGCUCUUUUACCCGGGAUGAUAAUGACAGUACCUGGAG